rnacentral:rRNA from 1 species
CGGGACAACAUUCCGAAAGGGAUGCUAAUACCGGAUGUGACGCUCCUAUCGCAUGACGGGAGCGUGAAAGAUGGCCUCUACAUGUAAGCUAUCGCUAAAGGAUGGGCCUGCGUCUGAUUAGCCAGUUGGUAGUGUAACGGACAACCAAGGCGAUGAUCAGUAGCCGGUCUGAGAGGAUGAACGGCCACAUUGGGACUGAGACACGGCCCAG